CCUACGGGAGUCAGCAGUGAGGAAUAUUGGUCAAUGGGCGCGAGCCUGAACCAGCCAAGUCGCGUGAGGGAAGACGGUCCUAUGGAUUGUAAACCUCUUUUGUCGGGGAGCAAAAGACGCCACGCGUGGCGUUCCGAGAGUACCCGAAGAAAAAGCAUCGGCUACCUCCGUGCCAGCAGCCGCGGUAAUACGGAGGCUGCGAGCGUUAUCCGGAUUUAUUGGGUUUAAAGGGUGCGCAGGCGGAAGAUCAAUUCAGCGGUAAAAUUGAGAGGCUCAACCUCUUCGAGCCGUUGAAACUGGUUUUCUUGAGUGAGUGAGAAGUAUGCGGAAUGCGUGGUGUAGCGGUGAAAUGCAUAGAUAUCACGCAGAACUCCGAUGGCGAAGGCAGCAUACCGGCGCUCAACUGACGCUCAUGCACGAAAGUGUGGGUAGCGAACAGGAUUAGAUACCCUUGUAGUC
rnacentral:rRNA from 1 species